GAUGAAGAACGUAGUGAAAUGCGAUAAGUAAUGUGAAUUGCAGAAUUCAGUGAAUCAUCGAAUCUUUGAACGCACAUUGCGCCCAUUAGUAUUCUAUUGGGCAUGCCUGUUCGAGCGUCAUUUUGACCACUUAAGCCUGGCUUAGUGUUGGGAAUCUACGUCUGUAGUUCCUUAAAUCUAGUGGCGGAGCCGCAGUGGCCUCUGAGCGUAGUAAUUUUUUCUCGCUUCUGAAAGUACUGUAGUUUUUGCCAUUAAACCCCCAAUUUUUUAAGGUUGACCUCGGAUCAGGUAGGAAUACCCGCUGAACUUAAGCAUAUCAAUAAGCGGAGGA
rnacentral:misc_RNA from 1 species